ACCAGCGGGCAUUUUUGCGCUCACGCGCGACUGCUCCAGGCUGUCAUUGCUCUCCUGACCGUCUACGAGAAGACUGGGAAACUUGAGAGGGAUUCCCCAGGAUCAACCAUCUGAGCAGAUACCUUGGAAUGUCCCCAGAUUUCAGAGAAUUCCAAAGAAGAUAGAAAUGGAGUUAGGAAGGAGAUUUUUGCCCUCCUGGCUCUUGUCUUCCUUCUCCACUUCAAGGACUCAGCAGGACUAGCCCCAGGGACGAAACUGAAACAGGAGAGUUGGUCUCCAGAGAAUACUUCCUUCUUCCUGCUACGACCUUCUUGCCUACUGUUGCUGGCUUCAUCUCAACAAUGCAGAAAGCUUACUGUUCAACCAUUCUUUCUCCCAGGGUUAACGGUUUCAAGGACCACUCUCAACUUUCUGGACACAGAAGGCACUUCAUUGUCCGCCUGAUUUGCCCUCUCUCAUUCUCAGGAUGGAAGACCUCUCUAGCCAAUGGGAAGAUGGCAAGAUGUGUGAAUGUACCCCUGGGAGCAAAAUCACAGAGCCUGUGUAAUCCUCUAUACAUGUAGGGACUGAGUGUGGGUAUCUCUGGCCAGUGUGGAUGUUGACCACGUUGUUUCGUAACCCUGCCUCACUUGCUCCUCUCUCCCCAACCUCCAGAACUGCCUAUCUAACUCAUCUGUGGUGAUGGAAUGCUAUUUCUUUCACAUUACCCUGAUUAAGUAUCAUUAGAAAGGUAACUGCUGUGCUUAAAACAAAUAAAUCACCUAACACAUUCCA
rnacentral:lncRNA from 1 species